CCUGCGAGUCUUUGUAGCAAUACAAGGCAGACGGCUCAGUAACACGUAGUCAAUCUACCCUAUGGACGGGGAUAACCUCGGGAAACUGAGAAUAAUACCCGAUAGAUCAUUAUGCCUGGAAUGGUUUAUGUUCAAAAUGAUUUAUCGCCGUAGGAUGGGACUGCGGCCUAUCAGUUUGUUGGUGAGGUAAUGGCCCACCAAGACUAUUACAGGUACGGGCUCUGAGAGGAGUAGCCCGGAGAUGGGUACUGAGACACGGACCCAGGCCCUAUGGGGCGCAGCAGGCGAGAAAACUUUGCAAUGUGCGAAAGCACGACAAGGUUAAUCCGAGUGGUUUCUGCUAAAGGAACCUUUUGACAGUCCUAGAAACACUGUUGAAUAGGGGGUGGGCAAGUUCUGGUGUCAGCCGCCGCGGUAAANACCAGCACCUCAAGUGGUCAGGAUGAUUAUUGGGCCAAAGCAUCCGUAGCCGGCUCUGUAAGUUUUCGGUUAAAUCUAUACGCUCAACGUAUAGGCUGCCGGGAAUACUGCAGAGCUAGGGAGUGGGAGAGGUAGACGGUACUCGGUAGGAAGGGGUAAAAUCCUUUGAUCUAUUGAUGACCACCUGUGGCGAAGGCGGUCUACCAGAACACGCCCGACGGUGAGGGAUGAAAGCU
rnacentral:rRNA from 1 species